GUCGCAAGGAGGAGAAGAAGUGGGGUAAGUGACAUUUUAGUCUAAAAAAAAAAAAUACUGAAAACCGCAAUUAAGCCUUUGUUCGUUCAAGAUGGCAGCCUGUUUUGUAAAUUAUAAAGAAAUCAAAUUGUAGUUUCAAAUAGAUUUUUCCGAAGAUUUAUAAAUACUUAAAUACAUAAGCCAAAUACAUUCCAAUUUUAGAUGAUAGUCUGAUAAAGAUUAAACUGAUUUUAAGUAAACCUCGAAUUUAUGCUAAUUUUGAUUUAGAAAUAACUUGAAGUGGUAGUUCGUAAUCAUCCGUGAGAGACAAACAUUGCGGAGCGAAGAUAUAAGUAUAUGCCUUUAUUACAGAAUUACUCAACUUGAACGAUUAUAUUUCCAGAUAGAUAUAUCGUCAGAUACACUAUAAUAAUCAUUAUAGACAGACAUAAGUUAAACCAUAUACUAACGUCUCGCAGGCAGAAUGUUUGAACUUCUACCGUAUACCGUAAUGAUUACUGGAACCAGCAGAGAUGAACUUUUUUGGAUUAAAUUAUCGAAUUAUAUUUUUAUUGAUCCAGAAUUAUUUCCAUCACGUGGGUAUAUCACUAUUCGAACUUUACCAACUACACAUUUUAAGAUUUAUCUGUAUAUCUUUUAACAAUUAGUUAUCAUUAAGAACUCAACAUUUUCAAAUGAAAAAAUUAUACAAUUAGAAGUUUUAAAGUCAAGAUAAUUGAGGAGCUUAUUUCCAAAACGCGUUAUUUCUAUUUUUGGUCGAAAUUCACUAUUUGAGUAGAAUGCACGUUAGAGUCUGGAUUGUAUCCAGAAAGGACCAUCUGUUGUGUCUACAUACAUUAAUUCUGCCGAAACAUGAAAGUAAAGUGUGCAUAUUUCUUCAAAAUGCGUUAUUUUCAAAUAGGGAGGAACUGCGUAAAGUGAUACAUUUUAAAAAACGUUAUUUCCCCUUUAGUAAGAAAUAUUUAGGGGAUACAUGGAAAACUUACAUUAUCAAAGGUCUGCAGAAAUAUUU
rnacentral:lncRNA from 1 species